GGAUAGCCUAGAAAUUUAGCAUGAUGUCACUUCUGAUCACUAUAGGACAACCAGUUGAGUAGUUAUAGAAGUUUAUCCCUCCAUACAAUAGUAGUGCAUCAUCGACAUCAGCAGUAGCAGUAGCAGCUUAGCAAGUCCAUCUAGUACUCAUGAUCGAUCUAUUCUUCAACCGUCCCAGCGCACACGAUCUAACCAGCCACC
rnacentral:lncRNA from 1 species